GGGAAAGGGUCUAAGGGAGGAGCCUCAAGUGUCACCAAGUGGAGGAGCUCUGCUGUUCCCAGGAGGGAUUAAUGCAAAGCAUUGAAGCAACAAUGACAGGAUGAACCGGGUUCAUGCAGAAAGAAAACCAUUCCUUGUGCCUAUAAAUGAUGAAACAAAACACGAAGGAGAAAAUGGAUUGACAAAUGCUGAACUAUCUCCUCAAAAAAUCCUGAAAAUUGCUUUGGACAACUGCCUUCCUGUAGUUUCAUGCCACCAUGGACUAUUUCCUGAACUAACCCAGAGACCUGCAGAUGAGUUGCCUCCUCCCCCAAAAAUAGACAAAUACAAACUGGCAAGAUUUUUAACAGAAAAGGCUAUCAGGGAAAAGAGAAUUUUUACCAUCUGUGGACCUUACCCAAUAAUCCGUGCAGCUUUAAGGAAGAGAGGAUGGGUGGAAAGAAAACAAGUCCAGAAAUUUGAUCCGCAGGAACAUAAGGAUGAAGGGAAUGAAACAGAACAUGAGAGUGUUGGCAAAACUGGUAGAAAAAACAAAACUGCCUUGCGUGAUGAGGAAGGUCAGUCUAACAAUUCAAGUGACAUCCAUGACCUAAUGGUAAGAUUCCAGAGGUUGGUAAGAAAUGAAGAAACUACCUUUUACUGGACUAUUAAAAAGGAUGCAGUUGAUUACUAUAAUCUCCACAUUGAUCAGAUGCUGAACCAUUAUGCAAGAACUGGCUCCUUUACAACGAAAAUUGGACUUUGUUUGCACAUGAGGAAUUUGCCAUGGUACGUGUCAGCAAACCCAAACACUUUCUUCCCUCGAUGUUAUGGCAUUUGCAUGGAUGAUGAGAAAUAUGAUUUUAUUGAGGACUUCAGGAAAACAGCAGCAUCCUGCAUAAUCAAAUGGGUUGUCAAUUUACAUAUUUCUGGUGAUAAUCAUAAUUGGCCAUGUAAAGAGAAUGCUGAUAAACAAGGUGGGACACAGGCAAAAGAUUCAGAUGAAAAAAAAGUCAAGGAGCUACCUGGGGAACUAGUAGAAAUGGCUUGCAAAGUGUGUGAAAUCUACCUUGGGCAAAUUGAGCACGAGGACAUUGACACAGAAAUAGACAGUGAUCCGGUACUUUCUGACAGGGAAUGGAAUCAGUUCAUUGAACAGUACUACUCUCUUAUUCAUGAAGGCGCAGUGAUUUGUAAUGCAGACAAUUAUUUCGCUCAGUGUCAAAACAUUUUGCAAAAAAUUAUGAUAGUAAACCCACAGCAAGGUAUUGAUGGUAUCCACAAUAUCUGGAUUAUUAAACCUGGAGCAAAAUCCCGUGGCAGAGAAAUAGUAUGCAAGAAUCGGCUGGAGGAUAUACUGAAACUAGUUGAACCAACUGAUCAGUUUCCAAUAAAGGAUCAUAAAUGGGUGGUCCAAAAAUAUAUUGAAACACCACUACUGAUUUACGAUACAAAAUUUGAUAUUAGACAGUGGUUUCUUGUAACAGAUUGGAAUCCUCUGACUAUAUGGUUCUACAAAGAAAGUUAUCUGAGGUUUUCCACUCAGCGUUUUUCCUUAGACAAUCUGCACAGCUCCAUUCACCUUUGCAAUAAUUCAAUCCAGAAAAAUUAUAUGAAUGCAAAAGAUCGCAGUUCUCAGUUGCCAUAUCACAAUAUGUGGUCAAGCAGCAGAUUCCAAGAGUACUUGCAAAAGAGAGGUCUUGGCCAUAUCUGGCGCAAUAUUAUCUACCCAUCCAUGAAGAAAAUUUUAAUCUGUACAAUGAGGAUGGUUCAGGACCAAGUUGAGCCACGCAGGAGCAGUUUUGAACUCUACGGGGCAGAUUUUAUUCUUGGAAGCGACUUUAAACCUUGGUUGAUUGAAAUCAAUAGUAGUCCAACCAUGUAUCCUUCUACCCCAAUAACAUCAGAUCUGUGUGCUCAGGUUCAAGAAGACACUAUUAAAGUAGUUAUUGACAGAAAGCUGGACAAAAACUGUGAUGUUGGAAAAUUUGAACUCCUUUGGAGACAGUCUAUGUUGGAUCUGCCACCAUUUAAUCCUGCAGACCUUUUUGUGGAGGGAAUUGGUGUUAAGAGACUGAAAAAGCACAUGGCUACCUUCAGUAAUUUUAAUUUUUUUGAACCACUGAUGGGUGCAACACAGCCUGCAACUAAUCAAGAAAAUAAGAGAGACUCAGUGGUAUCUGUCAAUGAAAAACACCAUGUAAAAGUAAAAACUGGAAAUAGUACUCUGUUCACUUUGCCAAAGACCCUGAGGAAAACACAAGAGAAAGGUUCUAAAGUAAAAACCACCCACAGAAAGUCUGUCAAAACCAUAGACUUCCCUCGCCUAGUUGAAGCCCCAGAAUCAACAUCCAUGUGUGAUAAAAAAAAGACCAAAUCGAUGAAAGAGACAAACAAUCAGAAUGGAGGUCAAGCAGUCAAUAGCUCUCCAAAGCCGCGUGCGUUAGACUGGGCAUUACUUCAGCCCUCUAAAGACACAGGUCUGCAGAACACAAACAAGAAGACUCCAUGCCUAAUUUGUGGAGAUGGUUUCCGGUUGGAGAAAGCUUGUAAACACUGCAGCUCUUUUUGUGCAACUGUAUUGCAAGGAGAGUCAUAUUUACCUAUGAGUGCGUGUUCCUCUCCUGAAAAGAUGGCAAAGAAAAGGCUGAGUGUCCCAAGUUACCGACUUCCAAAAUACUUUUGAAUCUACUGAAAGUGCUUUGAUAAAGUUUUUUUUUUACAAAAACAAUUCCCUAUAGCUAAGACAGAGCUCAAGCACCUUUCUUGCAUAUAACAAAAAACCCCAAAUGCCGAAAAGCCCCAUUUAUUCUCAAUAGCUAUAGCCAAUUCGUGGCUAGAACCUAUGGAAAUCAGUGUUUUGACUAGAAGUCUAGAAUUCCAGACUAGUGUAGUGCCAAAUUAGACCUUACAAGAAAAUGCAUGUAACAUUACAGCCCUAUUACACAUUAUUUCAACAUUUGUACAAAGAAUGUACAGUGUAUACAUAUAUAGAUCUGUACACAGGUACAAUUAUUCACAAGUUAGGCUGAACGCAGGUACAGCAGCACUCUUCUUACCUAUACCAUUUGAGGGGCCCAUACCCAGGUUCACUUUUAAAAUGAAUGCAAGUACAGCCAUUCACACAAGAAUAUGUAACUGUAUACAGACUUGUGUAAAUUCACAAAGCAUAGUUUCUGAAUAGGGCUUACCUGGAUGGCCAUAGGGUAACCAGAAAUGCCAUUUCCAGAGGGAUGAUCAGGAUCAGAGAAGCAGUGGGGGAAGAAUAACAAAUUGGGUGGUAGAACUUACUUUUAUACUAGCUAUGAAGCUGGGUGGAUCAACAGGAAAAAAAGAGGAAUCUAUUCCCCAUUACAUCCUUUUAUGAUCCCUCUAGUGGUGAUAAGUCUCCAAGAACACUAGAAUCUUGCAGAGAAGCAAGAUCUUGUCACUUGGCUUCAUUAGUUAAUCAAUCUGUGCAGGAAUGCCCUCAAACGCUCUGUUACACUGUUAGGGAUACCAAAGGAGACCAUAAAUCUGCAUUUCUGCUCUAUGUGAAAUCUCAGAAUGAAACGGGAAGGAACUUGCUCCUCCCUGGUAGCUGGAAGCACACUAAACCUGCCUCAUACUUUGAGAACUCAGGUGUUAGAAGUUAGAACUCAUGUAGAAUUCCAGCUUGGAACAAGUGUGUUCCAAAUUCCACACUUGAACUGGGAAUAGUAGGUGACGCAGAAUCUGAAGUACAUUCAUGGUGAGCUUAUCAGGGUAGCACAGGGCCAUGAAAUCAUAGUCAUCAGGUCAAGGGUCAAAGAUGGAUUUUCCAGAUGGAGGCACGGGAGUAUCUUCUGGGGCUCCAGCUGCAGAAAAACCCACAUCCUUACAUGGAGGAUAUCAAAUUGCAGAACUUUUUGAUUCGAAUGGGCUCCAGUUCCAGAAACUUC